rnacentral:rRNA from 1 species
AGCGAACGCUGGCGGCAGGCCUAACACAUGCAAGUCGAACGAAGUCUUCGGACUUAGUGGCGGACGGGUGAGUAACACGUGGGAACGUGCCUUUAGGUUCGGAGUAACUCAGGGAAACUUGUGCUAAUACCGAAUGUGCCCUUCGGGGGAAAGAUUUAUCGCCUUUAGAGCGGCCCGCGUCUGAUUAGCUAGUUGGUGAGGUAAAGGCUCACCAAGGCGACGAUCAGUAGCUGGUCUGAGAGGAUGAUCAGCCACAUUGGGACUGAGACACGGCCCAAACUCCUACGGGAGGCAGCAGUGGGGAAUCUUGCGCAAUGGGCGAAAGCCUGACGCAGCCAUGCCGCGUGAAUGAUGAAGGUCUUAGGAUUGUAAAAUUCUUUCACCGGGGACGAUAAUGACGGUACCCGGAGAAGAAGCCCCGGCUAACUACGUGCCAGCAGCCGCCGUAA